AGAGUUUGAUUAUGGCUCAGGAUGAACGCUAGCGACAGGCUUAACACAUGCAAGUCGAGGGGCAGCAUAAAGUAGCAAUACUUUGGUGGCGACCGGCGCACGGGUGAGUAACGCGUAUGCAACCUACCUAUCAGAGGGGAAUAACCGGCGAAAGUCGGACUAAUACCGCAUAAAACAGGGGCACCGCAUGGUGAUAUUUGUUAAAGAAAUUCGCUGAUAGAUGGGCAUGCGUUCCAUUAGGUAGUUGGUGAGGUAACGGCUCACCAAGCCGACGAUGGAUAGGGGAACUGAGAGGUUGGUCCCCCACACUGGUACUGAGACACGGACCAGACUCCUACGGGAGGCAGCAGUGAGGAAUAUUGGUCAAUGGGCGGGAGCCUGAACCAGCCAAGUCGCCGUGAAGGAAGAAGGAUCUAUGGUUCGUAAACUUCUUUUGCAGGGGAAUAAAGUGCAGGACGUGUCCUGUUUUGUAUGUACCCUGAGAAUAAGGAUCGGCCAACUCCGUGCCAGCCGCCGC
rnacentral:rRNA from 1 species